rnacentral:rRNA from 1 species
GGUUAAGCGACUAAGCGUACACGGUGGAUGCCCUGGCAGUCAGAGGCGAUGAAGGACGUGCUAAUCUGCGAUAAGCGUCGGUAAGGUGAUAUGAACCGUUAUAACCGGCGAUUUCCGAAUGGGGAAACCCAGUGUGUUUCGACACACUAUCAUUAACUGAAUCCAUAGGUUAAUGAGGCGAACCGGGGGAACUGAAACAUCUAAGUACCCCGAGGAAAAGAAAUCAACCGAGAUUCCCCCAGUAGCGGCGAGCGAACGGGGAGGAGCCCAGAGCCUGAAUCAGUGUGUGUGUUAGUGGAAGCGUCUGGAAAGGCGCGCGAUACAGGGUGACAGCCCCGUACACAAAAAUGCACAUGCUGUGAGCUCGAUGAGUAGGGCGGGACACGUGGUAUCCUGUCUGAAUAUGGGGGGACCAUCCUCCAAGGCUAAAUACUCCUGACUGACCGAUAGUGAACCAGUACCGUGAGGGAAAGGCGAAAAGAACCCCGGCGAGGGGAGUGAAAAAGAACCUGAAACCGUGUACGUACAAGCAGUGGGAGCACGCUUAGGCGUGUGACUGCGUACCUUUUGUAUAAUGGGUCAGCGACUUAUAUUCUGUAGCAAGGUUAACCGAAUAGGGGAGCCGAAGGGAAACCGAGUCUUAACUGGGCGUUAAGUUGCAGGGUAUAGACCCGAAACCCGGUGAUCUAGCCAUGGGCAGGUUGAAGGUUGGGUAACACUAACUGGAGGACCGAACCGACUAAUGUUGAAAAAUUAGCGGAUGACUUGUGGCUGGGGGUGAAAGGCCAAUCAAACCGGGAGAUAGCUGGUUCUCCCCGAAAGCUAUUUAGGUAGCGCCUCGUGAAUUCAUCUCCGGGGGUAGAGCACUGUUUCGGCAAGGGGGUCAUCCCGACUUACCAACCCGAUGCAAACUGCGAAUACCGGAGAAUGUUAUCACGGGAGACACACGGCGGGUGCUAACGUCCGUCGUGAAGAGGGAAACAACCCAGACCGCCAGCUAAGGUCCCAAAGUCAUGGUUAAGUGGGAAACGAUGUGGGAAGGCCCAGACAGCCAGGAUGUUGGCUUAGAAGCAGCCAUCAUUUAAAGAAAGCGUAAUAGCUCACUGGUCGAGUCGGCCUGCGCGGAAGAUGUAACGGGGCUAAACCAUGCACCGAAGCUGCGGCAGCGACGCUUAUGCGUUGUUGGGUAGGGGAGCGUUCUGUAAGCCUGUGAAGGUGUGCUGUGAGGCAUGCUGGAGGUAUCAGAAGUGCGAAUGCUGACAUAAGUAACGAUAAAGCGGGUGAAAAGCCCGCUCGCCGGAAGACCAAGGGUUCCUGUCCAACGUUAAUCGGGGCAGGGUGAGUCGACCCCUAAGGCGAGGCCGAAAGGCGUAGUCGAUGGGAAACAGGUUAAUAUUCCUGUACUUGGUGUUACUGCGAAGGGGGGACGGAGAAGGCUAUGUUGGCCGGGCGACGGUUGUCCCGGUUUAAGCGUGUAGGCUGGUUUUCCAGGCAAAUCCGGAAAAUCAAGGCUGAGGCGUGAUGACGAGGCACUACGGUGCUGAAGCAACAAAUGCCCUGCUUCCAGGAAAAGCCUCUAAGCAUCAGGUAACAUCAAAUCGUACCCCAAACCGACACAGGUGGUCAGGUAGAGAAUACCAAGGCGCUUGAGAGAACUCGGGUGAAGGAACUAGGCAAAAUGGUGCCGUAACUUCGGGAGAAGGCACGCUGAUAUGUAGGUGAAGUCCCUCGCGGAUGGAGCUGAAAUCAGUCGAAGAUACCAGCUGGCUGCAACUGUUUAUUAAAAACACAGCACUGUGCAAACACGAAAGUGGACGUAUACGGUGUGACGCCUGCCCGGUGCCGGAAGGUUAAUUGAUGGGGUCAGCGCAAGCGAAGCUCUUGAUCGAAGCCCCGGUAAACGGCGGCCGUAACUAUAACGGUCCUAAGGUAGCGAAAUUCCUUGUCGGGUAAGUUCCGACCUGCACGAAUGGCGUAAUGAUGGCCAGGCUGUCUCCACCCGAGACUCAGUGAAAUUGAACUCGCUGUGAAGAUGCAGUGUACCCGCGGCAAGACGGAAAGACCCCGUGAACCUUUACUAUAGCUUGACACUGAACAUUGAGCCUUGAUGUGUAGGAUAGGUGGGAGGCUU